UCCGUAGGUGAACCUGCGGAGGGAUCAUUACUGAGUUUUUAACUCUCCAAACCAUGUGAACUUACCACUGUUGCCUCGGUGGUCGGUGCUGGAAACAGUGCUGCCACCGGUGGACUACUAAACUCUUGUUAAUUUUUGUCAAAUCUGAAUCAAACUAAGAAAUAAGUUAAAACUUUCAACAACGGAUCUCUUGGUUCUGGCAUCGAUGAAGAACGCAGCGAAAUGCGAUAAGUAAUGUGAAUUGCAGAAUUCAGUGAAUCAUCGAAUCUUUGAACGCACAUUGCGCCCAUUAGUAUUCUAGUGGGCAUGCCUGUUCGAGCGUCAUUAUCACCCCUCAAGCCCGGCUUGUUGUUGGAUGCAGCGCUUAUCCCGCUCCUCCCAAAGAUAAUGACGGCGUCUGCGACGACUCCUGUACACUGAGCUUUCGGGCACGUACACGGCUAGAAGUCCAGACCCGGUCGCCGUCCCCCCGCGGGGAGGCACCCAUUACCACAAGGUUGACCUCGGAUCAGGUAGGAAUACCCGCUGAACUUAAGCAUAUCAAUAAGGCGGGAGGGGAAGGUCGGACUGGCCAAGGGCACACAGGGGGGGAUA
rnacentral:rRNA from 1 species